rnacentral:rRNA from 1 species
UACGGAGGGAGCUAGCGUUAUUCGGAAUUACUGGGCGUAAAGCGCACGUAGGCGGCUUUGUAAGUUAGAGGUGAAAGCCUGGAGCUCAACUCCAGAAUUGCCUUUAAGACUGCAUCGCUUGAAUCCAGGAGAGGUGAGUGGAAUUCCGAGUGUAGAGGUGAAAUGCGUAGAUAUCUGGAGGAACACCGGUGGCGAAGGCGGCAUCCUGGACCGGUAUUGACGCUGAGGUGCGAAAGCGUGGGGAGCAAACAGG